rnacentral:rRNA from 1 species
GUAAUUUAUAUGAAGUCUAGCCUGCCCGUUGACAUAAAGUUGAAAGGCCGCGGUAUAAUGACCGUGCGAAGGUAGCAUAAUGAUUUGUUCUUUAAUUGGGGACUGGUAUGAAGGGUUGAGCGAAAAGUAAGCUGUCUCUUUUUCAAAUCUUGAAUUUAACAUUUAAGUGAAAAGGCUUAAAUAAGUUAGGGGGACGAUAAGACCCUAUAAAUCUUAGAUUUUUUUCAUAGUUAGCUUGAAGUUUGUUGUAAUAAUUUAAGCUAACUANUGAAAAAAAUUUUGUUGGGGCGACAGGAGUAUAAANAGUAACUGCUCUAGAUUUUUAUUUGAUUAUAUUCAGCUUGGUGGAUUUAGCNGACCCCNAUUUAAGGGUAUUAGAAUAAGUUACUUUAGGGAUAACAGCGUAAUCUUUUCUGAGAGUCCAUAUCGAAGAAAAGGGUUGCGACCUCGAUGUUGAAUUAAAGANUCCUCCACNGGUGCAGGAGUUGGGCA